GACGAACGCUGGCGGCGUGCUUAACACAUGCAAGUCGUACGGUAAGGCCCUGCUGUUGUGGGAUGCGUGAGUAGCGAACGGGUAAGACAUGAGUAAGUAACCUGCCCCUUACUUUGGGCUAAAUUCAGGUAACUGGGGCUCAUACUGUAUAGUACCUCCUCAUGCAUGGUGGGGGUUGGAUAGGUUGGGCGGUGGGGGAUGGGCUCGCGGCUUAUCAGCUUGUUGGUGGGUGAGUGGCUUACCAGGGCUCUGGCGGGUAGCCGGCCUGAGGGGGGGACCGGCCACAUUGGGACGGAAAUACGGCCAGGAUCCCUACGGGAGGCAGCAGUGGGGAUAUUUCAACAAUGGGCGGAAGCCGGAUGCAGCAACGCCGCGUGCGGGAUGACGGCCUUCGGGUGGAAACCCGUUUUCGCCUGUGACGAGGCGUGAGUGACGGUAAUUGGUAAAGAAGCACCGGCUAACUACGUG
rnacentral:rRNA from 1 species